rnacentral:rRNA from 1 species
CUACGGGGUGUAGCAGUGAGGAAUAUUGCACAAUGGGGGGAACCCUGAUGCAGCAACGCCGCGUGGAGGAUGACGCAUUUCGGUGUGUAAACUCCUUUUAUAUGUCAAGAGAAUGACGGUAGCAUAUGAAUAAGCACCGGCUAACUCCGUGCCAGCAGCGGCGGUAAUACGGAGGGUGCAAGCGUUACUCGGAAUCACUGGGCGUAAAGGACGCGUAGGCGGGUUGGAAAGUCAGGUGUGAAAUCCUACAGCUUAACUGUAGAACUGCACUUGAAACUUCUAAUUUAGAGUAUGGGAGGGGGAGAUGGAAUUAGUGGUGUAGGGGUAAAAUCCGUAGAUAUCACUAGGAAUACCUAAAGCGAAGGCGAUCUCCUGGAACAUUACUGACGCUAAGGCGUGAAAGCGUGGGGAGCAAACAGGAUUAGAUACCCCCGUAGUC